AAGAUUUUAAGUUAUUUAAAACUUUAAACCUUCAAAGUUUAUAAAAUAUUCUAAUCAUAUAUAAAUCUUA
rnacentral:tRNA from 1 species